rnacentral:tRNA from 1 species
UGGAGUGUAGCUUAGUGGUAGAGCUCUCACUUCACACAUGGGAGGCACUGGGUUUGAUCCUCAGCACCACAU